rnacentral:rRNA from 1 species
GCGACAUGGCGGCGUGCUUACCAUGCAGUCGACGAUGAACCGCUUUCGGGCGGGGAUUAGUGGCGAACGGGUGAGUAACACGUGGGCAAUCUGCCCUGCACUCUGGGACAAGCCCUGGAAACGGGGUCUAAUACCGGAUAUGACUGUCCAUCGCAUGGUGGAUGGUGUAAAGCUCCGGCGGUGCAGGAUGAGCCCGCGGCCUAUCAGCUUGUUGGUGAGGUAGUGGCUCACCAAGGCGACGACGGGUAGCCGGCCUGAGAGGGCGACCGGCCACACUGGGACUGAGACACGGCCCAGACUCCUACGGGAGGCAGCAGUGGGGAAUAUUGCACAAUGGGCGAAAGCCUGAUGCAGCGACGCCGCGUGAGGGAUGACGGCCUUCGGGUUGUAAACCUCUUUCAGCAGGGAAGAAGCGAAAGUGACGGUACCUGCAGAAGAAGCGCCGGCUAACUACGUGCCAGCAGCCGCGGUAAUACGUAGGGCGCAAGCGUUGUCCGGAAUUAUUGGGCGUAAAGAGCUCGUAGGCGGCUUGUCACGUCGGUUGUGAAAGCCCGGGGCUUAACCCCGGGUCUGCAGUCGAUACGGGCAGGCUAGAGUUCGGUAGGGGAGAUCGGAAUUCCUGGUGUAGCGGUGAAAUGCGCAGAUAUCAGGAGGAACACCGGUGGCGAAGGCGGAUCUCUGGGCCGAUACUGACGCUGAG